rnacentral:rRNA from 1 species
CUCCUGAAGGAACGUUGAAGACGACGACGUUGAUAGGUCGGGUGUGUAAGCGUAGCGAUACGUUGAGCUAACCGAUACUAAUGAACCGUGAGGCUUAACCUU